GACGAACGCUGGCGGCGUGCUUAACACAUGCAAGUCGAACGGUGAAGGGACUGGUUUUGCUGGUCCUGGAUGAGUGGCGAACGGGUGAGUAACACGUGAGUAACCUGCCCCCUUCUUCUGGAUAACCGCAUGAAAGUGUGGCUAAUACGGGAUAUUCUGGGUCUGUCGCAUGGUGGGCCUGGGAAAGAUUGCGCCUUUUUUGGUGUUUUUGGUGGGGGAUGGGCUCGCGGCCUAUCAGCUUGUUGGUGGGGUGAUGGCCUACCAAGGCGGUGACGGGUAGCCGGCCUGAGAGGGUGGACGGUCACACUGGGACUGAGACACGGCCCAGACUCCUACGGGAGGCAGCAGUGGGGAAUAUUGCACAAUGGGCGCAAGCCUGAUGCAGCGACGCCGCGUGAGGGAUGGAGGCCUUCGGGUUGUGAACCUCUUUCGCCAGUGAAGCAGGCCUGCCUCUUUUUGUGGGUGGGUUGACGGUAGCUGGAGAAGAAGCGCUGGCUAACUACGUG
rnacentral:rRNA from 1 species